rnacentral:rRNA from 1 species
AUUGAACGCUGGCGGAGUGCUUUACACAUGCAAGUCGAACGGCAGCACGGGUGCUUGCACCUGGUGGCGAGUGGCGAACGGGUGAGUAAUGUAUCGGAACGUAUCCAAUAAUGGGGGAUAACUAAUCGAAAGGUUGGCUAAUACCGCAUACGCCCUACGGGGGAAAGCAGGGGAUCUUCGGACCUUGCGUUAAUGGAGCGGCCGAUAUCUGAUUAGCUAGUUGGUGAGGUAAAGGCUCACCAAGGCGACGAUCAGUAGCUGGUCUGAGAGGACGACCAGCCACACUGGAACUGAGACACGGUCCAGACUCCUACGGGAGGCAGCAGUGGGGAAUUUUGGACAAUGGGGGCAACCCUGAUCCAGCCAUUCCGCGUGAGUGAAGAAGGCCUUCGGGUUGUAAAGCUCUUUCGCAAGGGAAGAAACGAUACAGUCUAAUAAACUGUGUUAAUGACGGUACCUUGAUAAGAAGCACCGGCUAACUACGUGCCAGCCGCCGCCGUAA